ensembl:lncRNA
AUUUGGGGUUUGGGGGGAUUGUGACUAGUAUAAUUACAGUGUCAGGGACAGAAGUUAAGUCACCCUGAGAUGUCAGGAUGCUGCUGGGAGGGAAUGAGGCCUUCGUCCUGGGGUCUGAGAGAUGAGGGUGGACAGGGGUGGUGGUGAUGGGCUUCUCUGCCUCCCUGGAAAUCACAGAGGAAGUUCUCAGCACUGCACUGCCUUUGAAGAUGAAUACAACCUCUCUGGUCUGCAAUGCUCCUGGUAGACCAAGGCAGAGAAACUCAGGUCCUGCUGAAGGAGCCAAAGGUAGUUGAAUCUAUCUUCCUACUUGGAAGACUGAGGCCUGGCUCUGGGCUGGGCAUUGGGCCCUAUAGGCAGGAAGUAAAGUUUUCCUGUCUAGCCUCCUCCCUUGAACUGGAGACUUUCCCAGAAGAGUGCAGCUGAGCCUCCUCCCUCAGGCUGGGACAUCUGUGGAUAAGGACCCAGCUGAGAAUGUCAGUCAUUCUGGUUUCCUCCCUUCUACUGGUCCAGCACCAUUUCCCAGAGGGGGUCUCCAGACUGAAGGGGAACCCAAGAACCCAGCACCCCUUUAUAGUUAGCACAGGUGAUGGUUAAAGGGCACUGACUUUGGGGCCGAGAUGCCCAGAUUCAAAUUCCCGCUCUUCCUCUCACUAGCUGUGUGACCUUGGGCAGGUUCCUCAACCUUCCUGAUCCUGUAAAACGAAGGUGAUAAUAGCACUGACAGUGUUUCCGUGCAGAUUAAAUAAGCUAGUGAUCUGCAACCUUUGGAACAGCAUCACAUGUUCUUUCUCUCCACCCACCUCUGUCCCUCAGGGAUUCAAAAACCACAGCCUGGACCCCACGGGAUAUCAAGCCAGCCCAGAGCUUCUGGACACCAGCAAGUGUCAUGGCAGGUGUGUGAGCCCAACUGCAAUGGUGCAUCUCAAGCCUGUUUGUGCUCCGUGUGUCUUCAUCCUACGGGCCAAGCAAGCUGCAUGGCCGCUGGGUACAAAGGAGUGGGAAGUACCUUCCAACGAGACGAGAUGGGUGGAGUGAAGGGUAAGCUGAGCUGCACAGGUGGUCGUGUCCCAGCCUAGGCCGCCCUGGGGUGACAUAGGGGGAUGGGAGGACCUGGACGCUAUGCUCAAACCUGACACUGAAAAUCCAGGGACGGGCAUUAGGAUCCGGCAGCCCUGUGGGAUUAAACCCCACUUGCCCUGGGCAGUGAUCUGCUCAUGAGCAUAUCCUUUAUUAGAAUUCUUCCCUUUCCUGGGACACCUGCCUGGCUCAGUCGGGGGAGCACAUGACUCUUGAUCUGGGGGUUGUGAGUUUGAGCUCCAUGUUGGGAGCAGAGAUUACCGAAAAAUGAAAUCUUAAAAAAAAAAGGAUACUUCCCUUUCCUGUUUCUCCUAGUAACGGCAGUAAUUUCUCACUUGUGAUUUCUGGAAUCGUCUCCUUCAAAAGCUAUCUGCACUCAAGUUCCUGUCUCAGAGUCUGCUUUUGAGGGAACUCAAGCCAAGACAGCCGUGAUGACAAUGUGGGGGGAGGAGGGGGGGGGAGGAGGAGGAUAGGGAAGAUGAGGAUGUUGAUGAUGGGGAUGAUAAAGAUGUUACUGUUGGUGAUGAUGGCGAUGGUCGUGGUGAUUGCUAUGGACUGACUGUGUCCCCUAGAAAAUCAUGUGUUGACGUUUAUUCCUCACAGUUGGCACUUUGGGCGGUGCGAAGCCCUCAUGGAUGGGAUUCCCAUAGAAACUCUGUACCCUUUAAGCCAUAAACACUCAUUUCUUCCUUCCCCCAGCCCUUUAAGCUUUAAGCUGCCUUCUGUUCUUGGGGCGCCUGACUCCUCAGUCAUCUCAGGGUUGUAAGUUCGAGCCCCAUUUUGGGUGGAGAGAUUACUUAAAAAUAAGAUCUUAAAACCCUAUCUUCUGUCCUUGAAUUUGCCUAUUCUGUGUUUAACUUUUAUUUAUUUAUUUAUUUAUUUAUUUAUUUAUUUAUUUAUUUAUUUAAUGUGGGGCCUGAAUUCACCACCCUGAAAUCAAGGCAAGCUGAGGUCAAGAAUCAGAUGCUUACAGUUACACCACCCAGGUGCCCGGAAUUUGCCUCUUCUAGAUACUUCAUAUAAGUAGAAUAUUUCAUACAAUAUCUGUGUUUGGCUCAUCUCACUUCAUAUGAUGUCUUUGAGGUCUGUUCAUGUUGUAGUAAGUAUAGAACUUUCUUCCUUUUUUAUGGUUGAAUAAUAUUCAUAUAUAUAUAAUAUACCUCAUUUUGUUUAUUCAUUCAUCUGUUGAUGGACACUUGGGUUAUUCCCACCUUUUGGCUAUUGUGGAUAAUGCUGCAAUGACCACUGACAUGCAAGUAUUUGUUUGAGUCCCUGUUUUCAAUUCUUUUGGGUAUUUAUUUAGGGUUGGCAUUGCCGAGUCUUCUCGUAAUUCUACGCUUAACUUUUUUAAUUUAAAAAAAAAUUUUUUUUUUAAGAUCUUAUUUAUUUAUUCGACAGGAUAGAGACAGCCAACGAGAGAGGGAACACAAGCCGGGGGAGUGGGAGAGGGAGAAGCAGGCUCACAGGGAGGAGCCCGAUGUGGGGCUCGAUCCCAGAACGCCAGGAUCACGCCCUGAGCCGAAGGCAGACGCUCAACCGCUGUGCCACCCAGGCGCCCCUCUAUGCUUAACUUUUUGAGGGACUGUCCCACUGUUUUCUGUAGGAGCUGCACCUUAUGACCUUUUAAAUCACUGAAUUCCCUGUGUUAGAUACCUUUAUGCUUAAAAUACCUAGAGUGGUUUAU